rnacentral:rRNA from 1 species
UACGAAGGGGGCUAGCGUUGUUCGGAAUUACUGGGCGUAAAGCGCGCGUAGGCGGUGAUCUUUGUCAGAGGUGAAAUCCUUGGGCUCAACCCAAGAAUUGCCUUUGAAACUGUAUAGCUAGAGUGUCGGAGGGGAUAGCGGAAUUCCUAAUGUAGAGGUGAAAUUCGUAGAUAUUAGGAGGAACACCGGUGGCGAAGGCGGCUAUCUGGACGACAACUGACGCUGAGGCGCGAAAGCACGGGGAUCAAACAGG